rnacentral:rRNA from 1 species
AACGAACGCUGGCGGCAGGCUAAAUACAUGCAAGUCGAGCGGGCACUUCGGUGUCAGCGGCGCACGGGUGCGUAACGCGUGGGAACAUGCCUUUAGGUACGGAACAACCAAGGGAAACUUUGGCUAAUACCGUAUAAUAUCUCUGGAUCAAAGAUUUAUCGCCUAAAGAUUGGCCCGCGUUAGAUUAGGUAGUUGGUGGGGUAAUGGCCUACCAAGCCGACGAUCUAUAGGGGGUCUGAGAGGAUGAUCCCCCACACUGGAACUGAGACACGGUCCAGACUCCUACGGGAGGCAGCAGUAAGGAAUAUUGGACAAUGGGCGAAAGCCUGAUCCAGCCAUGCCGCGUGAGUGAUGAAGGCCUUAGGGUUGUAAAGCUCUUUUAGAUGGGAAGAUAAUGACUGUACCAUCAGAAUAAGCCCCGGCUAAAUUCGUG